rnacentral:misc_RNA from 1 species
GCCCUGAGAGAUUAGUUUCAGGUUUUGAUCAUUUUACUUUGUUUCUCUGGGAACUUGCUGUUAGCAAACACCCCAUAACUUGCAUGACAGGUCAUCAACAGGUAUAUGAAGUAUAUGAUUGCAUUCUGUUCUGGUUGCAAUUGUAGUUUGUUGAUGGUACUUUAUUGGGAGUGCAAUGUAAAGAAUCUAAAACUUUAUCCAGUCAUGCAGAGCUCCUGUUCCAUUACUUGUACCUUAGUCCUCUUUUUAGCAUUUUAACCCAUUAUAUUGCAGCCAUCUCUCUUCUACCCCCAGUCUUUCUUCUGUCCCUCUGUGUGUGUGUGUGU